GUCGCGUAAGGAUGCUGAGACGGGUUGGUGGCGCCGUCCGACGGUGCUUCAAAGAGGUACCGUAUCUCAAGCAAUUUGAAUUAUAACGUACCGGGAAACACACUAUGGCGUCAAGCUCCGAGCACAACUUCUGGUAUCUUCCAAUGUCAUCAUGGUGAAAUGGCAUAUAAUGGUACGAUAACGUUAUUACAAGCCCGUACGUUAAAGAUACAACGUGGUGUGACGCACUGCCUGUCGUUCGAACUGACCUACAUGCCUUUGUAACCCUUUAAUUGUGGGACUGAUGACUGAUAGCAUUUCGCAAGAACCAACCGCGUAAUCUACAGAUGGAGAAGGUGCAGCACAAGCGCAAGGGAAUGAAAAUGCAAAAUGCUGGUGAAGGCAUCCGCUCUAAAAAAAAGAAAGGAAGUCGAAAAGUUGACCGUUUCAUCAAAACUUGGAAAUUGCAAAACACGAACUUGUUCAAUCACAUUCAAUCGGAGGUAGCACAGCAGAGUUGUAGUUCUAGUGGGCGCUAAUGCGGCACCGGAGGAUCCGACUCGGGUUGAGCACAACUGGCUCAAAGAUCUAGAUAUAGCAGAAAGUGGCCGACUCUGAUACGCAAAUGGUGAUUGGUAAGCAAGAAUUGGGCGAAAAAUUAGAGGUGAUGGAUUUUUUUAAUAGUUAAAAAUUUUUUUAAUUGUAAACAGUGCGAUUUACGUAGUCUGUAGAUUUUUGCAUGUUAAAUUUUGCAUAUACGUGUAUAUGAAUAAGAAUCAUUGAGUAAGAUGCAGUAGUAUAAGUCGUGCUCUUUUUGCUUUGAAAAUCGAAUCAAUGAUUACUAAAUUAAAUUUAUAUAUAAUUACUACAUGAUAAAAAACAAUUUACUAUUAUUACACGCUAUAUAAGGCGAAAACAAUGUUUGUUAUGUCUACCUCAUA